rnacentral:SRP_RNA from 1 species
GCCGGGUAUGGUGGCACGUGCCUGUAAUCCCAGCACUUUGGGAGGCUGAGCGGGGCAGAUCACUUGAGGUCAGGAAUUUGCGACCAGUUUGGCCAACUUGGCAAAACNNNNNNNNNNGUGCCACCAUACCCGGCUAAUUUUGUAUUUUUAGUAGAGAUGGGGUUUUGCCAAGUUGGCCAAACUGGUCGCAAAUUCCUGACCUCAAGUGAUCUGCCCCGCUCAG